GAAAGAUACAAAACUUCAAAGGGUCAACUGCCGUGAGGAGGUCAAUUUGGAAGAUUAGAGAGAAGACAGCUCUGGAAUUGGCUGUUACACUGUGACAUCGAGAGAAGUUUUAUUUUAACGGAUAAUGAAAAAGAUUAUGUCAAAGGAAAAAAGGGACCAUCCAAUCCAAAAUAUUCAAUGAAAAGUACUGAAUAGAAAAACAGAUAUGCGUUAUUAUAAUAGAAUGAAGAUCAGCCCUGAGCUAACUACUGCCAAUCCUCCUCUUUUUGCUGAGGAAGACUGGCCCAGAGCUAACAUCCAUGCCCAUCUUCCUCUACUUUAUAUGUGGGAUGCCUACCACAGCAUGGCAUUUUUGCCAAGCAGUGCCACCUUCGCACCCGGGAUCCCAACCGGAGAACCCCUGGCCAUCGAGAAGUGGAACGUGCGACCUUAACCACUGCACCACCAGUGUGGCUUGAUGAGCAGUGUUUGGUCUGCACCCAGAAUCUGAACCUGCGAACCCGGGGCUGCUGAAGUGGAGUGUGGGAACUUAAUGAAUACACCAUCAGGCCAGCCCUCAGCAAGAGAUCUUUAUGCUCUGUUUGGGCUCCAGUCCUGUGCCCUGAUCUGGAAAGUGUUUCCAGACACAAACCCACUCACUUUGUUUGCCUUCUCUCAGGUAUAUCAGUCCUGCCCUGCUUGUCAUCCAAUGUCUGUAAACAGUUGUUUCGUAUGCUUUGUCCAGUUGUAUAGGCUUUUAUGUUGGAAGGGCUAUUCCUUUACUAAUUAUUCCACCAGGCCUGGAUGCAGAAUCUGUUAUUUUUCAUUCAGUUUUUAAAUCAGUUCAUUAGUUCAUUAUCUCCCUGAACAGAUACUCAUAAACGGUAGAUGCUAACAGUAGUACAAGCUGAUUAAUAAGAUACUGUUCCUGCCUUGAAGGAGCUUUCAGUUUACUGGAGUAGAGACAGAUAAAAUAAUUUCAAUGCAAUAUGGUAAGUAUAGAAAGGGAAGAUUUAAAAGUAAAUGCUAUGGGAUAAAAGCAAAAGUGUUUGUUAUAUAUUUUACCA
rnacentral:lncRNA from 1 species